GCUUUCAGCAGACGCACCAGAAGUCACCCCCUCAAUCCCCCAUAUAAAUACUACUGCUACUAUUAGUAAUACCACCAUCAUCCCAAACCCACAACGCAACAAACCCAAACAACACUUCUUUCUUCGCUUCUCUCUCUCUCUCUCUCUGUCCCUCGUUCUCCCUGCAAACUUUACCUCUCAAGUCCGGAAUUCCACCUCUUCCUCCUCCGCUUUCGACCGUAUUCCACACACUCACACACUAGCACUAGCUUUCUUUGUCUUCAAGUCAAAGCCACCGGCCAUCCCGCCUUUUGUAUGACCAAAGCAGCGAUACUGGUAUUGGUCUGAUGGCAACCGCUCCGAUAAAAUCACAGCCGCUGCAUAACUUCUCCUUGCCCCACCUGAGAUGGGUCCACAAAAACUCCCCCCACCAACAAUCACCUCCUCAUUCCACCCUUCAGCACCGCCGUGAUUCACCCGACUUCGACCCUCCUGGAAACGACAACAACACCACCGCCGCCGCCUCCUCCAAGCCUGCCUCUCGUACCCCUCGUAAGCCGCAGCCGUUUUCUUCUCCUUGUCUCGCUUCUUUCCCGUCUGCUUCUUCCACUCAUCAAAAUCAGAAAGCUGAGCAAGGCGACGACGUGGUGGAAGAAGGCCAUAAGCCGUGGAAUUUGAGGCCGAGGAAAGUGGUGACUUACCCAACAAGCACUGCUACUUUUACUACUCCGUCGUCGUUCAGGAAGAAUGAUAAAGAAAAGGAAAAAUUGCAGGAGGAAACCGGGUCGUCUUUGAGGAAUAGUAAUAUGAGUAAUGACAGUGUUCUAUUGAAGUCAUCGAGUUCGUGUAGGGUGGUUAGAGGAGGAGCAACUGUGGCGGGGUAUGUUGGCGGUGGAGUAGCGUGCCCGGGCUUCGCCGGGACGGAGCGGCAGCAGAGGAAGGUGGUGGAGGAGAAGAGGAAGUUAUGGAUCUCGCUCUCCAAGGAGGAGAUUGAGGAGGACGUGUACUCUUUGACUGGGUCUCGGCCCUCUCGCCGGCCCAAGAAACGGCCCAGGACUGUCCAGAAGCAGCUUGACAAUGUAUUUCCAGGGUUGUAUUUGGUGGGGUUGAGUAUUGAUUCCUAUCGUGUUCAUGAUUCUUUGAGGUAGAUAUGAUGCAUUUGAUGAUGUCACAUUCUUGCUAUUCUCGGAAAGGUAUUGCGGUGAUUUAGAGAGAAUGUGAAGGUUGGAAAGCUUGGAGUUUGCUAGUUGAUGCCUCAGCAGGAGGCUUCCCGACCCUGUUGGGGGCAGAGCUCAUAAUCGUAUUUAGUUACCAAAGUGAAUCCUUUUCAAGAUUUACUAACGGAGGUGCUGCUUGCUUCCCCUUCUUGAAGGACAUUUGUGUCAGUUGUUUCUUUUGGCAAGAGCAAAACCUGAUGAGGUCAAAAGUUCGCAUUUUAGCUGCAUGCUUUCCCUUUGUUGUGUUAUUGCACCAAAUAUGAGUAUAUUGGCAUUUUGGUGGGCCAUUUCGUUUUAGCGAUUCAUUUAUGUGCAGACAAGUUUCAUUUCUGUGAGAGAGUGAUAUAAGUUGACAAACAUAGAAAAGAUUUUUUUUUUUGGUGCCAAAUAUACAGUAUAGUUGCAAGUUCUAGGCUAUCUGAUGAGCAUAGUACAUGUCACAAAAGAGUUUUGACAAAAACCAGCUCAUUUUUAAAUUUCAAUAUUUGUGUUACUGUUCUGCUUAUUAGAAGACUUCAGAGAGAUUUUAUCUGCAUUAAAGUUUGUAUGAAGGUGAACAUUGCAAGCUGUGGGACUGUCUUGCGAGCUUCUGUCAGAAGUAAUUCUUUAUGCAACUUCAUAGAUGUUAUUGUCUCUAUGCCUUUGUGCAACUUUUCAAGGUUAAGGAAACAUGUUUUUGAAUUUUUGAAUAUGUUGGAUUUUUGAAUGCUCCAAUCAUGCUGCUUCAGCUGUUGGAAGAGUGUCAUUCUAUUGCAUCUUGAUAACAUUACUUUCUGCCUGUUUAUGCGUAUGCUUUGCUAAUAGAUUUCCAGACUCGUCAGUGAAUCCUCUGCAUCUAUGCAUGAACUUUGUUUUGUAACACUUCCCAUCAACUUUAGAAUCAAAUUGAAAAAUUUGUUUCUUGCAGUCAUAGUUGAUUUUCUGUUUGUAGAUUUUAGUAAAACUACUUCAGUGCUGGUGACAACUAACGCCAGAGGAUUUUCCCUGGAUUUUGAACUAUAUUCUCGAUUUCAAGUCGUUAAAGAUUAUGAAUGGCACAUUUUUGUGUUGUUUACCAUUUUGCUUGGGAGUUCCUUGGCUUCAUGUUUUAGAGUUGAUUACCUGGGUAGCUUAAGUUCUCUGAAGGGUAAUGUUCUUGUCUUUAUGGAAAUGUUUCCUCUUUUUUUUUUUUUGUGUGGAAAUGUUGACUAUAGGUGUUCCAACCUUGUAGUAGAUGUUGCAUCACAUUGAAAAGAAUUUGACUUUGCUCCUUUUCAUUUGCUUUACUAAUUGCAUCAGAACUUACUGAUUAUCCUCCCUCAUUUUAAGUUUCUUAUCACACCAUCAGAAUCUGCUUCUUUUGGCUGCGCUCAUCUAUCUCUCGAGUUCAGCUAAAUUAUGUUGAUUC